rnacentral:rRNA from 1 species
UACGUAGGGGGCGAGCGUUGUCCGGAUUUAUUGGGCGUAAAGAGCUCGUAGGCGGUUUGUCGCGUCUGCUGUGAAAACUGGGGGCUCAACUCCCAGCCUGCAGUGGGUACGGGCAGACUAGAGUGCGGUAGGGGAGAUUGGAAUUCCUGGUGUAGCGGUGGAAUGCGCAGAUAUCAGGAGGAACACCAAUGGCGAAGGCAGAUCUCUGGGCCGUAACUGACGCUGAGGAGCGAAAGCAUGGGGAGCGAACAGG